rnacentral:rRNA from 1 species
ACUCCUACGGGAGGCAGCAGUGGGGAAUAUUGCACAAUGGGGGAAACCCUGAUGCAGCCAUGCCGCGUGUGUGAAGAAGGCCUUCGGGUUGUAAAGCACUUUCAGUAGGGAGGAAGGUAGUGUAGUUAACACCUGCACUAUUUGACGUUACCUACAGAAGAAGCACCGGCUAACUCCGUGCCAGCAGCCGCGGUAAUACGGAGGGGUGCGAGCGUUAAUCGGAAUUACUGGGCGUAAAGCGCAUGCAGGCGGCCUGUUAAGUCAGAUGUGAAAGCCCGGGGGCUUAACCUCGGAAUUGCAUUUGAAACUGGCAGGCUAGAGUCUUGUAGAGGGGGGUAGAAGUUUCAGGUGUAGGCGGUGAAAUGCGUAGAGAUCUGAAGGAUACCAGUGGCGAAGGCGGCCCCCUGGACAAAGACUGACGCUCAGAUGCGAAAGCGUGGGGAGCGAAA